rnacentral:misc_RNA from 1 species
UUACUGAGUUUACGCUCUAUAACCCUUUGUGAACAUACCUAUAACUGUUGCUUCGGCGGGUAGGGUCUCCGCGACCCUCCCGGCCUCCCGCCCCCGGGCGGGUCGGCGCCCGCCGGAGGAUAACCAAACUCUGAUUUAACGACGUUUCUUCUGAGUGGUACAAGCAAAUAAUCAAAACUUUUAACAACGGAUCUCUUGGUUCUGGCAUCGAUGAAGAACGCAGCGAAAUGCGAUAAGUAAUGUGAAUUGCAGAAUUCAGUGAAUCAUCGAAUCUUUGAACGCACAUUGCGCCCGCCAUCAUUCUGGCGGGCAUGCCUGUUCGAGCGUCAUUUCAACCCUCAAGCUCUGCUUGGUGUUGGGGCCCUACAGCUGAUGUAGGCCCUCAAAGGUAGUGGCGGACCCUCCCGGAGCCUCCUUUGCGUAGUAACUUUACGUCUCGCACUGGGAUCCGGAGGGACUCUUGCCGUAAAACCCCCAAUUUUCCAAAGGUUGACCUCGGAUCAGGUAGGAAUACCCGCUGAACUUAAGCAUAUCAAUAAGCGGAGGAAAAGAAACCAACAGGGAUUGCCUCAGUAACGGCGAGUGAAGCGGCAACAGCUCAAAUUUGAAAUCUGGCCCUAGGCCCGAGUUGUAAUUUGCAGAGGAUGCUUUUGGUGCGGUGCCUUCCAAGUUCCCUAGAACGGGACGCCAGAGAGGGUGAGAGCCCCGUACAGUUGGACACCAAGCCUUUGUAAAGCUCCUUCGACGAGUCGAGUAGUUUGGGAAUGCUGCUCAAAAUGGGAGGUAUAUUUCUUCUAAAGCUAAAUACCGGCCAGAGACCGAUAGCGCACAAGUAGAGUGAUCGAAAGAUGAAAAGCACUUUGAAAAGAGGGUUAAACAGCACGUGAAAUUGUUAAAAGGGAAGCGCUUGUGACCAGACUUGCGUCCGGUGAAUCACCCAGCUCUCGCGGCUGGGGCACUUCGCCGGCUCAGGCCAGCAUCAGCUCGCUGUCGGGGACAAAAGCUUCAGGAACGUAGCUCUCUUCGGGGAGUGUUAUAGCCUGUUGCAUAAUACCCUUCGGCGGGCUGAGGUACGC